GGUUCUAUGGUGUAGUGGUUAGCACUCUGGACUUUGAAUCCAGCAACCUGGGUUCGACUCCCGAUAGGACCU
rnacentral:tRNA from 1 species